rnacentral:sRNA from 1 species
AGCUCCACCGGGUCCACGCCGCGGGUGACGGUCAGGUAGUCGCGGCUGGCGAUGCCGUGCCGCCCCUC